AUUUAUGGCCAUAUCACCAUAAAUGUGCCCAUUCCCAUCUAGUCUUGGAAUUUAAGCAGGGUCGAGCUUGAUUGCCACUUGGAUGGGAGAAAGCAAAUAAUUUUGACUU
rnacentral:rRNA from 1 species